AUCCAAAUAUCUUUGAAAGACAGGGUCCUAAAAAGGGGGCUUUUCUUUUUUUUGCUGAGUUUAUUUAUGGUCUCAACAUUGUUGUGCUCACUUAAACAGGAAGUUGGCACGGCUGUACUUCUUGUGGGCAAACUUCUCAAUUACUUUCAUCAAAAUCUGGCAUUCUCUGGAUGAAGUCAUGCUAGUUUGACAGCAUGGCCAAUGCAUUUAACCUUUCCUGGACCAUGGAGUUGCGUAAGGUUUUUAUCCUUUUAAGGGUGUAAAAGUUUCUCUCGGACGGUUAUCAUCGGAGUGGGGAUGAUGAAUUUGAGAAGACCGUCUCAGACAAGGCCUCCUGCACGUUGUUUUCGUAGAGUGAUUUCAAUAAAGAAAGGGCUGUCUUUUCGGUGUGCAGCUCAGGAUGCCUAGACAGUGAACAGCUCCCUUUUCAACUUUUCCUUGUUUCCCAUAGGCCAUAGCUUUUUAGCACAGAAUCCUUUAGUAGUGUUAAGAUGCAUUGUACGUUACCACUCAUCACCUCUGCCCUGUAAUAGGUUUGUGCAACCAGCUUCUCAUUGACAUUCAGUGGCGCUAGGACUUGUUUCAUGGUGUUGGAGAGGCCAACACCAGUUUUGUCAUUCACCUCUACAAAAACCUCUCACACACUGUUGUCUGCUAAUAUGUAGCGCAGCACUAUUACCAUCUGUGAUUUACAGGAGACGUCAGUAGUCUCGUCUGCCUAGACGCAAAAGGAGUCUCAGAUACCACCUUAGCUAUAGCUUCUCUGUACACUUCAUACAUACAUUCCAAAAUGUUGUUUUGCAUCGUGCUUGAUGUUCCCUUUAAAAUUUGGUUGGUCGACAUAAUGCCUUUGUAGCCUGUAAUCUUCUUCACGCAUUAGCUAAACAGGUGGCUCAAAACAGUUGGGGCUGAAUGAGGCAUCGCCACUGAUUUUAUACAGCAAUACACUUAAUUUCAAGCCUAGGACACUAUAAGGACUGUGGUAAAAUCACAGUGAAUGUAGGUUUCCAUGCCAACCUAUCUUUUGCAACCAAUCGAGCUCUGUGAGGUAUCUGGCCAGUGCAUAGUCUAUGGGGAGAAUGACAGUUUUAUCUCAAUUAGCCACGAAAUCGCAAGUUUGAAAGUGACUGUUUGCUGGAAGCUGUGCAGCGCUACUUUUGCCGACGUGGGUCAGCCCCCUAGCAAUUCGAGUUCCAGCCAAUGAGCUUUAGCCCCUCGCCAUUUGAGUGACAGCUACCAAGAUGUACACCCAGCAGAGCAAAAGAGAGAGCAAUGACGUGGUGCACAUAUCUGCUUGUGAGAGCUACUUUCACAACUACUGGCUAAAAAGUAUACAAAAGUACCUGAGAAUCUCUUUUUUUUAAAUGGUGUGAAACCUAGUGGAGGCUUAAGCUUUGCAGAAAUGCAGAACAAUACUGUGAGCUCUAAAAUUAUUAUACAGUGACACAUUUUUUGUUUGUCUCUUAUCAUUUUGGAUUUGAAAUGUUACAAUGACUGAGGUUAAAGUGAGGACUGUCAGCUUUAAUUUGAGGGUAUUUUCAUCCAUAUCGGUUGAACCGUUUAGAAAUGACAGCACUUUUUGUACAUAGUCCCCCCAUUUUACACAUUCAUUUGUGUAUUGAAGUAGUCAAAAGUUUCAUAUUUUGUCUUCUAUUCCUAGCAGGCAAAUUUAACGUCAGGCUUGUGACUAUAAACUUGUUGAAUGCAUUUGCUGUUCAUUUUGGUUGUUUCAGAUUGUUUUGUGCCCAAUUUAAAUGAAUGGCGGGUAAUGUAUUGUCAUUUUGGAGUCACUUUUAUUGUAAACAAGAAUAGAGUAUGUUUCUAAACACUUCUACAUUAAUGUGGAUGCUACCAUGAUUACAGAUAGUCCUGAAUGAAUUGUGAGUGAGAGAUUUAGACACACAAAUAUAAUACCCCCAAGACAUGCUAACCUCGCACUGUUACACCAUUUUAGGGUAUGAUAUUUGUGCGUGUAACUUUCUCACUCAUCACUAUUCACGAUUAAUUCAGAACUAUCCGUAAUCAUGGUAGCAUCCACAUUAAACACAAACCCAUUACUUUCGUACUUUCUCUGUUGAAUCUUCUAGACUGUGCUGUAAAUCAAGCAGAUAAUCCACAUAAAUGUAGGGGCAUUGGAUUCAAAAUGUUGAUGUCUCGUUCGUUGUGCCAGUGACUGACGCAACGAUCGAGACAUCAAAAUAUUCUGGACUGACUUCUGACGUUUUCCGCACCGGCUGUUUUUGCAUUGCAUGCUAUAUCACAACAGCUGAUUGUCACUUAACUGUUGUUCAGAAAAAUAUUUCCUGGAUCGACAAUCGACAAAAAAAUCGACAAUAUCCAUAGGCCUAACUAUCAGCUGGAUACCAAAUGCGCAUUCAACAAUUAUAGGCUUGUCCCUUCACUGCAACUCCCGGACGGACUUGGGAGAGGCGAAGGUCGAGAGCCAUGAGUCUUCCGAAACACGACUGCUCACAGCCGGCCCACCACACAGUUGCUAGAGCGCGAUGGGACAAGGACAUGCCGGCCAAACCCUCCCCUAACCUGGAUGACGCUAGGUCAAUUGUGAGACGCCUCAUGGUUCUCCCAGUCGCAACCGGCUGUGACACAGCCCGGGAUCGAACCCGGGUCCGUAGUGACUCCUUAGACCGUUGCGCCAAUCGGGAGGCCUGAAAUUGCUUUUCUUUAUGUGCAUGUUUUUAAUUAAUUAGUAGGCUUAUGGAUGACAUUUUAAGUUAUUUGCCCAACCCUGUUGUAUUUAUUCCGUCUGAAAAGGAAGACCGUGAAUGCAGCACAUAUUUAUUUUAUACAAUAGUCAGCCCAUAUCAACAAGUGUGUAAAUACAAUAUUCUUCCCAUAUGAACCAUGUGUUUUAGGGCAUUAGGGACCCAAUAUGAGAGCCUUCAGACCGGGUUAAACGAGAUUACCCUAUCGUUCCCCAGCCAAUCAUGCACACGCGGAUGAAAGAGUCGCCGACAAAGGAGUUAACUUCUGCUGCAACCUUCGCUGUGAAAUAUAAUGCGUUGGGGCGGUGCUUCCUGAAAUAAAUAAUUGCUACAAAUGUAAUUACAGUAAUAGCAGGUUGAUCUGAAUUCUGAAACCAAAUGCUUUCUGUUUUUUCUUAAAACAAUUCAUUAGCCCAUAGUGAAUUGUUUGUGUUUUUAGUAGGACUAUAGUCUUUUUUUAUUGAUAAAUAGUUAAUUUGUUGAUGUUUGUUUUGUGUGUCAUGUCCAUGGACUUUGUUUGUAUUAGCUGUGAUUUUGGGCAUGAUAAACUGGUUACAACAUUGACUAUACCAUUCUCUCUUAGCCCAAAUUUGGUUAGUACUUCUGAUUUUAAAAUAAUAUAGAUAAUAAACUGAUUAAUCAAUUGCUUUGAAUAUGGUGCGCCACAAGGCUCUAUGUUUGGGGUCAGUGCUUUUUGAAUACAUUUAACGUAACCAGGGCCCAGAUUCACAAAACCUUAAGAAAUUUAUUUUUAACUGACAUUUUUUCCUUAACUAUAGACUUAAGAAGAACGUUAAGCAAAGUUGCUAUUCCUAAAAAGGUUGUUGGAAAUGUUCUCGUGUGUCAGGCCCUGGCCAUAGAGAGGUUUUUAUUCUCUAUUUUGGUUAGGCCAGGGUGUGACUAGGGUGGGCAUUCUAGUUUCUUUAUUUCUAUGUUUUCUAUUUCUUUGUGUUUGGCCGGGUGUGGUUCUCAAUCAGAGGCAGCUGUCUAUCGUUGUUUCUGAUUUGAGAAUCAUACUUAGGUAGCCUUUUUUCCCACCUGGGUUUGUGGGUAAUUAUUUUAGUUACCUUACAGAACUGGUCGUUUCUCGCUUUGUUAUUUUUGUUCUAGUGUUCAGAUUUAAAUAAAUAUCAUGAACAUGUACCACACUGCGCUUUGGUCCACUCCUUCAUUAGAUGAGUGUUACAUUGUGCUAUUUCUUAUGUUUCUCUUAUUAAGCAAAAA